CCGAAUAUUAACAAAUUCAUUUUUGCUUUGUCCCUCGCCUCCUUGUCCUUUUUCGGGGAAUGAAGCGCAGAACGGACUCUGCUGCUAUAUAUUUAUCUGGAAAGGGACUCAGAGUGCUAAGGUCUUCAUAGGUUCUACUCAAGUAAAUGAAACAGUGAAGAAACACGAGAUGACGUACAACCGUACAAACCUCAACCCCUGGGCUGCCGACAUUGAACCAUAAAUCUAACAUUGACUACUGUGGGCCCUCACAGUUUUAAGAGAGGACACAGCAGCAAUACCAAAGUUCUUGCUGACCCAGGAAUGAACUGGUCGGCCCGUGAACCUAAAAAGGUUCAUUCGAACAGUUGGGACCCACAAAGGAGAAAAAGGUGUGGAUGGCCUCUUUCACAGUUCCCCAGUGGUCACUGGUGUAUGAGGGGUCAUGUCACGGCGGAGUAAAUCUACACGAGACUGAGGGCAAAGGUUUGUUGUAAAACCACUGGAGGGUUCAACUUGUGGUCAAGGCAAUAAGUCUCCUCAGCUGAACACGGGCAGAUUGUUCGCCCCCUAUCCCAACAACAUUAACAAACAAUGGUUUGAAGACACACGUUUUUAAAAUGUUGAUAUUCAAGCUAUA